GCCUGGGUGGCUCAGUCGGUUAAGCAUCUGACUUUGGCUCAGGUCAUGAUUUCACAGUUUGUGGGUUCAAGCCCUGCAUCAGGCU
rnacentral:tRNA from 1 species